CCUCCUCCUUUCUAUAUAAUGCAUCACAGAGAGUAGAGAAAUAGGUUGAGAGAACUGUAUUCUCAGGAAAGCUGAUUGAACAACAACAACAGCAACAACAAAAACCAAUGAAAGGAAAUACAAUCACAGAUAGCACAUGCCCCUUUAUCUACUUCUCCUCUUCUACCUUCUGACUCAAGGAAUAUGGCCAAAGCUCCAGCAACCACAUCAAAAGAUAAGAAAUGUUCUAAGGAUGGCAGGCCAAAGAGCCCAAAGGAGUCAAGAUCAUCUGACACUGUGAAACCAGCAUCUGAGCUCUAAAUCAUCUCUCUGGAUUCCUUCAAUUGAAGAAAAGAAUAAACUUAUUAUGUUUAA